AUUUAAUUAUCAAAAAAAAUAAUAAAUACAAAAUAAUAAUAAAUACAAUACAAUAAAUAAUAAACUAUCUCUUAUGCUAUUUAUGCAUGUGUCGGAAUCAAUCUUGAUAGAUAUACUAAUAAACACAUAUAAAUAUCCUAUCAGAUAGUCACAUUGCAUUAAAAACACUUGGUAGCUCCCAUUUGUAUGGAAUUGAGAAACUGCCUACCAGAAACAAAGUUCAACUUGUUUGUGACCAGAGCAUAAAGGCAAAUUAAAAUCAUGGAAAUCAGCACUCCAUGAUUUUAAUUUACUAUAGUACGAAUAGACCAGUGUUACAUACAUUUUUCACUACUAAGAGCAUAAAGGGAUUGAGAGCAAUGAGGUUGUUGAUCAGUUGGCCAAAGAAGAGGCUUCUCAACCCUUUAUUAAACCUGAACUUGCCCUGGGCAUUUAGGCUAGUUGGCAGCUCAGUAUUUUACUCACUGGAGGUCUGUUCCCAGACUAAGGCAAGAAAAAGCUCAUUUUAGGUCCUCCUCUGCAGCGAACUAAAGAGUUGCUUGUAUUGCAUAAAAAUGAAGUUAGGAUUAUCACAAGGCUUCUUACAGGGCAUUAUCAUCAUAGAAGGC
rnacentral:lncRNA from 1 species